UGGGGAAUUUUGGACAAUGGGGGAAACCCUGAUCCAGCCAUCCCGCGUGUGCGAUGAAGGCCUUCGGGUUGUAAAGCACUUUUGGCAGGAAAGAAACGUCAUGGGUUAAUACCCUGUGAAACUGACGGUACCUGCAGAAUAAGCACCGGCUAACUACGUGCCAGCAGCCGCGGUAAUACGUAGGGUGCAAGCGUUAAUCGGAAUUACUGGGCGUAACGCGUGCGCAGGCGGUUCGGAAAGAAAGAUGUGAAGUCCCAGGGCUCAACUUUGGAACUGCAUUUUGAACUACCGGGCUAGAGUGUGUCAGAGGGAGGUGGAAUUCCGCGUGUAGCAGUGAAAUGCGUAGAUAUGCGAAGGAACACCGAUGGCGAAGGCAGCCUCCUGGGAUAACACUGACGCUCAUGCACGAAAGCGUGGGGAGCAAACAGG
rnacentral:rRNA from 1 species